rnacentral:lncRNA from 1 species
UCUCUCGCAGAAGACCACAUCGCAACUUCAAACCGCUCGAAGCAGAAUUUCAGAAAAUCGGUGCAAAAUGGCCUCUUAAAAAACUGUCACAGAAAAAACAUAAAAUCAACAAAACAAGAGAAAUUAAAGAAAAAAUAGAAGAUUAUUACCGAGAAAUUUGCCAUAAACGACAUCAGCGCGCAGGCCGCGAACAGUGGCCUUAUCCCUAAGGUGAACUCUGUCAACGAGCAGGCCGCCUAGACAGAGAAUGAGGAGCUUCUUUUUCGGGCCGAGAUCGAGUUUGUCCAAAGACAGCCCGAGAUCGGCUUCGGGCUCGGCCUCAGAAUCAUCUGAGUAUUCGCUGCUCUCAUCGUCGAAGGCUACGAGUUUUUUCUUUGGAUCGGAUGAUUUCUCUUUCUCAGACAUUUUUCUCUCUGGAAUAUUUUCGCAAGCUUAUUAUGAAUGUAGAUAUAGAGUGUUGGAGAAUUUGGGGGGCCCACCAUUUGUUUUUACUUUUACGGUUUUGCUUUUAUUUAAUGUGAUGGCUGUUGGAGUGGCACUUCUUUUACGUACGAUGCAAAGCGCAACGAGAAAAAAAUCGGAUUGAUUUUUUAUUUUAUAAUAAUUAGGUUAUGUUGGAUUUACAAAAUCUGUUUCUGACUAUUGUUAUCGUUCUUGUUUUUUAUGUUUAAAAAAAAAGAACAUCGGAAAAUUACGGUAAAUGAUAUUUGAGGUGUUUUUAUUGAGUAUGAAAACUUUUCAAAACGUUAAAAAUUGGUAUACAUUAGGAAUCUCAAUCUGUAACAAACAAUAUGUUGGAAAAACUGAAAGAAACGUUUGGGUUUCUUUCAGAAGAGUUUAGGGGAAGGUUCCUUUAAUUAAUUCUUUUAUUAUAAUGAUAAUAAUGACAAUUAAUUUGAAUAGAGUAGGAAACGAAUAUUAAAUUGAUUGAUAGGAUGUCGUAAAAUGAAAAUUUUAGGGGAAAAUGUGUAGAAGUAAUCCUAAGUUUUUACCCGCUCAAGUAACUAAAGUCACAAAAAUACUUGAAAUUAUUCAAAAGUCGGUGGGCGAGAAUAAUUUCAUCAAAGGUGAAAUAUUUGGAUUAAAAUUUAUAUUUACUGAAAUAUUUGUAAUUAAAAGUUCUUUGUUACCUAGCUGCUAGGGUUGGAUCGAUCAAAAGUUCAAAACCUGUAUUCAAGAAUAUGUACGUAUCUAAUAAUACUUGAAUUCGAAUCUUGAUCCGUCAGACCGUCUUAGUAUAUAUUACACUAGUCUCUCGCUCUUUUGGGUUUUGCCACUCUUCAAAUUAUACUACACUAGUCUCUCGUUUUUUUUUUUUUGAGGCAUAGUAUCCCCUUUUAGAUAUGUAGUAAUCUAUUUUCAAUGAGCUUAUUUGAUUAAUCAAUAUGCAACUUCUUGGUAAGUUACACUAAUGCUUUUCAUAAUUCAUAUCCAAAGUCGUUGUUGAUUGUUCAAGUCAAUGAGCAAUGCUGUGCGUUUCUUCAGAAUCUCGCUUUUCUUAAUCUUUUAUAUGCCUCUUCCACUACAAGCAAAACAAGCAAUAAACGAAAAAAGAAAUAAAAAGAUAAAUAACAGUACCAUCUCCUAUUGUCCUUUAUUAUGCCAAUUAUGCCCUGUUUUUCUGCAGAAAAUGCAGAGACGUUUCCCUUCUUUUUAUUUAUAUAUCAAUGUCACGACCGGCCCUAAUUAAGGAUAAUUAAGCCGGGGAAACCGUGACUAAUGGAGGGAGAUUAGAAGCGGGGUAGAAAGGGGAAUAAUCAAACAAGGAAGGAUCGCAUUUCAUCAUUGUUAACAAAAGGGAUAUUUAUAAUAUAACGGAGGUUUAGUCGUAUAGACUCAAAUAACUAGUAAGCUCGGAUAACUCCGACUUAGCCAAAAUAACAUAAAACUUCUGAAUACGCAGCGGAAUAAGGUUCUGAUUANCUGCGAAUAUAUAGUUCGAUUCGAUUAAAGCUCGUUCGAAUUCCGAGUCAAAUUAAUUUUGAAAGUUAGAUAAAAAAUAUAAUAUAUAGUUACCGGAUUAAGAAGGGCUACGUGGGGUUCAUUAUCAAUCAACAAAGUGUUUGAAGCAGAGUAUUUUCCUUUGUAGGAUCUAUUUUCCCACACAUCUUUCAAUCCUUCAGAAAUAAGGGGCUUCUCCCCUUUGUUGAGGCGAGUAAAAAUCCAGAAUCUGUGCACUCCUCUUGAGACCUAAACAAAAUAAAGAUUAAUAAAAUUAUUAAUUCAAUUUUGUAUUAUUUUUCUUAAAAAAAAACAAAGAGUAGUGAAGUUGGUGUGCAUUACCCAUACAAAUAACAGCUUGUUUCUGUUGGCACUCCCACCAGUUACAUUGGUUAAAACACCUUCUAUAUUAUGCCUGCCAAAUAUCAUAAAAAAAAAUUAGUAUAAAUACUUGAUAAAUAAAUAUGCAUGAAGAAAAAUAAGUUACGAUUAUUUACUCUCUCGCAGAAGACCACAUCGCAACUUCAAACCGCUCGAAGCAGAAUUUCAGAAAAUCGGUGCAAAAUGGCCUCUUAAAAACUGUCACAGAAAAAAGCAUAAAAUCAACAAAACAAGAAGAAAUUAAAGAGAAAUAGAAGAUUAUUACCGAUAAAUUUGCCAUAAACGACAUCAGCGCGCAGGCCGCGAACAGUGGCCUUAUCCCUAAGGUGAACUCUGUUAACGAGCAGGCCGCCUAGACAGAGAAUGAGGAGCUUCUUUUUCGGGCCGAGAUCGAGUUUGUCCAAAGACAGCCCGAGAUCGGCUUCGGGCUCGGCCUCAGAAUCAUCUGAGUAUUCGCUGCUCUCAUCGUCGAAGGCUACGAGUUUUUUCUUUGGAUCGGAUGAUUUCUCUUUCUCGGACAUUUUUCUCUCUGGAAAAUUUUCGCAAGCUUAUUAUGAAUGUAGAUAUAGAGUGUUGGAGAAUUUGGG